CAAGGAAUAGUUUAUGAUUAGAAUGCCAGCUUUGGGUGCUGGUGGUGGGAUGUAUUUUUCUUCCUUGA
rnacentral:tRNA from 1 species